rnacentral:rRNA from 1 species
AUUGAACGCUGGCGGCAGGCCUAACACAUGCAAGUCGAGCGAGCGGCGGACGGGUGAGUAAUGUAUGGGGACCUGCCCGAUAGAGGGGGAUAACUACUGGAAACGGUGGCUAAUACCGCAUACUAUCGGAUCAGCCCAUAUGGGAUUAGCUAGUAGGUGGGGUAAAGGCUCACCAAGGCGACGAUCCCUAGCUGGUUUGAGAGGAUGAUCAGCCACACUGGGACUGAGACACGGCCCAGACUCCUACGGGAGGCAGCAGUGGGGAAUAUUGCACAAUGGGCGAAAGCCUGAUGCAGCCAUGCCGCGUGUAUGAAGAAGGCCUUAGGGUUGUAAAGUACUUUCGGCGGAGAGGCGGUAUCCGCAGAAGAAGCACCGGCUAACUCCGUGCCAGCAGCCGCGGUAAUAC